rnacentral:rRNA from 1 species
GACGUAGGGCGCGAGCGUUGUCCGGAUUUAUUGGGCGUAAAGAGCUCGUAGGCGGCUUGUCGCGUCGGCUGUGAAAGCCCGAGGCUUAACCUCGGGUCUGCAUUCGAUACGGGCUAGCUAGAGUGUGGUAGGGGAGAACGGAAUUCCUGGUGUAGCGGUGAAAUGCGCAGAUAUCAGGAGGAACACCGGUGGCGAAGGCGGAUCUCUGGGCCAUUACUGACGCUGAGGAGCGAAAGCGUGGGGAGCGAACAGG